rnacentral:lncRNA from 1 species
AUGACAUCUACCAGCCCUUUUGGAUGCUCUCCCAAGAGCACGUCUUAAACAUCAAGAUGCAAUUCUUCAGAGCCAGUGAUAGUCCUAUCCUGAAUGUGGCCUGGUUGUAAGUGCCUAGGUUAUCAAUGUAGGAUGUGAAUGGAAAAUUUUCAGCAAUGACAAAGCAACAAAAGACUCAUCUCCAGCUGGAGAUUCUCAGACUCUUUAAGUGAUGGACAUCCGUCUGUCCUGACUGGAAAGAGUACAGGCGCUGCAAGUUCUGAUGAAUUUGGCAAUUCCCAGAAUCAGAACGGGAGAACAAUGAGUAGCUCUAAACAAAAAGUAACAAAUGUACUCAAGGAAUCACUAUACAGCAUACAGAGGCAACCUUUCUUGAAAUACAGUGGAUGGAACACUUUAUUUAAGCAACUAUGAGAAGAGCUAAGGCUACUGUGUCUGUGUAUUGCCUGUAGAUAAGAAGGGGUCUGACCUAGAAAAUUAAAGAAAUAUGUUCUGUAACACUUUUAUAUGAAAGAAACUGGCCAGUGGUUUAAAUGAAGAAAGCUUUAGAAGCCAGAGUGAAUCUUACUAAAACCGAGGACUUGCCUCACUUCCAGGUUCUGCUGCACCCUUUGUCUUGCUAUGCAAGUGCAGAUGCCUACAAUACACAAAGCCUGCAAGGCUGUGGAAUGGAACUUGGUUCUGAAAGAAGCCCCAUUUCUUUGGCAUCAGCAGAUAUUUAUAUGACUUUGCAGCUAGCAGCCAAAAAGAAGGCCCUUUGAUACCUCAUUGGACAAACUGCCCACUCUU